GUACGGGAGGCAGCAGUGGGGAAUUUUGGACAAUGGGCGCAAGCCUGAUCCAGCCAUGCCGCGUGAGUGAAGAAGGCCUUCGGGUUGUAAAGCUCUUUCGGCAGGAACGAAAUGGUUCGUGCUAAUACCACGGACUGAUGACGGUACCUGAAGAAGAAGCACCGGCUAACUACGUGCCAGCAGCCGCGGUAAUACGUAGGGUGCAGGCGUUAAUCGGAAUUACUGGGCGUAAAGCGUGCGCAGGCGGUUUCUUAAGUCAGAUGUGAAAGCCCCGGGCUUAACCUGGGAAUUGCGUUUGAAACUGGGAGACUUGAGUGUGGCAGAGGGGGGUGGAAUUCCACGUGUAGCAGUGAAAUGCGUAGAUAUGUGGAGGAACACCGAUGGCGAAGGCAGCCCCCUGGGCUAACACUGACGCUCAUGCACGAAAGCGUGGGGAGCAAACAGGAUUAGGUACCCUGGUAGUCCC
rnacentral:rRNA from 1 species